UGCAAGAUCUCAGACUUUAGAUCAUACUAAUUCAGAAACAAUGACAUAAAAAUUCAACAUCCCACAUGAAAGUCCAAACCAUUAAUUAAGGGGAAUUUGCACGAGUCCAGGCUUACACAUGAUAGGGUUGGAUCAAUAAAAUUUAUGAACUAAACGAUGCUCAAAGAUAAGCAGUAAUCAUCCAGACAUGCAUAGCAAUCAGUCCCUAAACCAAUGGAUUUACCAAUUUCAAUUCAAGGAACCCUAGGGUGAGAAAAGGGGCAAACAAAUUAAUGAUAAUGCAAUCUAGGGUUAGAGUUUAUGAAAAACUGGUAUGAGAGGGUAAAAUAAGAAGAAAACCCAAACCGGAAGACAGUUCCCACGCGCGGACAGCAACAAUGGCCCAGAUGCACAUGCGUGAGAUCACGGCUGCACGUAUGUGGGGCCCGCUAUUCAGAAAAAGGCCACCUUGGCCCUGAUUGGCCAGGGAUGGACUCCAAAACCCCCAAAUCUCAGCUCGAUCUGAUGCACGGUUUGUGCGUGGUGCUCCGCCGAAAUUUCAACCCUCCUGCAGGGCCAGAUUCUGGAAUCUGCUGUAGAGAGAAAAACGGCCGCAACUAUUGAUGAAUUUGCAGAUGGAAUGCUUGUAGGAGAAGAGAAAUAUGGAUGGAAGAAGGUAGGGGCGAAUCGAGAUAUAUGUGGCUUCGCACCACGGUAGUUAACCCUUCGAAGAAGGGAGGGCUUCACACCCAAUUAGGCUUCACAACUCAGAGAGUAGGAAAACGCAGAAUUUUUAUUAAUCAUCAAUGAAUCAAAAGAACUACAAGGGGUGCCUAUUUAUAAGAAAACUCUAUACCCCAAAACUCGGGCCAUGUGCGCAACCUAUUACUUGGCGAUGAAGUAAACUAAAAUAAAAACCAAACAAAAAUAUCUAAAGCAUUCAUGAUGUUCUAAAUAAUAACAAUAAGCAAAACCUAAAAUAUGAAAUCAAUCCGACUAGUGGGCUACGAUCAUGAGAUCCCAUGGUGGGCUUUUCUUGAUUGUCGGGCCCACUCUUUUGAAUCAAAACUUCGUCUCCUAACUAGGAGGCCCUCCCUGGAUGUCAUCAUCGAUCCAAAUCAACGGUGGGGUCCUUCUUCUGGCGUACGUGUGUUGGGGGCGGUGUGCGUGCGCUUGUGCGCGUGAUGUCCCCAUCACUUACUCUUUGUUGGUACAUAGAUCGCCCAAAGGCUUCUUCAAAGGCACGUGCGGAAUUCAACAAGGGGACCCACUUUCUCAAUCCUCUUCAUGUAGUGGCUGAGGUGCUUUGAAGGAUGUUGGAAAAGAGACAGAAACAAGGUAUUCAAAAUCGGUUACAUAUUGGCUGUAACGGCUGAUACAUAACGGUCAACCGUUACGCAAUAUGGCCCCAAAACGGGGCACCUCCAUUUUUUGGGUUUGUAAUGGCCAUUACGGUACCGUAACAAUUGUUACAGGCCAUAACCUUAAAGAAAA